CAGUCCAUUUUUCACUUGUCUUUAAGUGCAAGUGAUGGGAAUUGCUAACCUCGGCUAAGAAAAUUUCAUUUCCCCCCUCCUGCUAAACGGUUCUGGUCGACAUAUGUUUGUUAUCAGAGAGAGGUGCUAUGAACACAGAGCCAUUUUCUUAGCAGCUCUUUGACUCUGUGUUACCAUAGUCCCACACGGCAUUGGUCCUUUCCCGUUGGGAAGUCAUGAAUAAGAGACUAUGAAGCUUGCACGUCAGAUCUUCCUCAAUUAAUCCACCAUUAGCAUGUUUGGGAUCCUCUACUGGAUGGUUAACAGCAGCUUUGGUAACUGUAUGCUGUCCAUACCCAAUUAUGCUCUGCUAAAAAUGAACUCUGCAGAACAACCUUCCUGAGCUGUCAGUGUCUCCCGUUUUCCUAUUUUAACGCUUGUGUGUAGUGGCAGGCGACAGAUGGUGUAGAUCAGAUCGAUUUGAUUGCAUUAGGCGAUUUUUUUUUCCCUCCUCUCCCCCCCGACUCCUUUUCUGGAAGCCCACAUUCAUCUGAGAGGCGAUCGCCGGGGACAUGGGAAGCAAGAGCAGCCGCCGAUGUGUGAAAGCAACGAGACAUGGCCAGCCAGAGGCGCCGGGGUCCCUUCACGGGGUUUGUUAACAUGGUAAUCCGGCACCAGGAGAGAAAGCUGCUUUCUGCUGCCCAGAGCCCAUUCCCCAUCACACAUCAGAUGACUCCCUGGUUUUACACACAGUUGGAGUUCUGCUCGAAACCUGGAUUUAAAGGCUGCCAUUUAGAAUACGACUUGAGAGCUUGCUGUUUAGAGGAAUACAGGAAAUUACACCUACAAUGAGAUUAAAAUAGAGGAGAGUGUGUUGGAAAUAUUUUUUAAUUAUUUAAGGAAUCUGUUGCUGCGUAUGACAUCUCUUGCAAGCUCCCAGAGAGAAUUGAUGGAGCAUACAGCUAGGGAAUAGGAUACCAGAGAAGCACAGAGGAAGAAACCAGGCAAUUACCAGGAUGGGAAGGUUCAGCGUCCAUUGGAUAUGGGACAAGAUCGCUCGGCAAUCCUUGUGGAUUCUCCUUCUUCUAGAGGCGAAUUAUAGUUAUGGAUUUAUUGUCCCGGUGCCGCACUUCCACCACCACCACCAGCAACAGCAGCAGCUUUCUGACUCUCUUCGGUGACGGGUAUUCUUGGGUGGAUAAUACGGAUUACGUUGUUAUUGCUUAAGAAUACGCGUAGUCGAGGAGAGUACCGGCGGCGGGCAGGCAGGCAGGCAGGCAGCGCGACCGCCCCCAGCCCACCAGCUGGCUCCUCACCUCCUCUAGUUGCCAAGGUCCAGAGAUGAAAAUGGCUGCUCAUCAGCACCGAGCCUGAAAUGCCAGUGCUGGAUCUGUCACUGAUGAACCGUUUUGAUUCAGAGUGUUGAAGGCAUCUUCAGGAGGUGAGAGCUGAGCACCAGAGCACCUCUGUUCUGUCCGCAGAACAGCAUUACCUCUGUCUUGCAUGCAGCCUACCCUGUCACAUUGCUGGUUUAUUAAAAAAAAAAAUCAAAACAAAAUAAUAAUAAUAAUAAACAAACAAACAAACAAACAAAAGUUAGCAGGAUGUCAUGUUCUUGACAAAAUACUGGGGAGAAGACAGAGGCAUCGAUACAGAUGUAGUCACAGAUAUGUGCUGGGGCUGCUUUGCUGUGCUAUAGGCUUGUUCUUGCUUGAACUUGAAAUUCCUGUAGAAGGGAUGUUUAUGCCAGAAUGACAGUGGUGUGUAGCCCCAGGGAAACAUCAAAGGCUGGAGAGCCUCAGCACUCCCUGGAGAGGCAGGCCUGUCUGUCUGUGGAAGCAGAGCCCUGUUUUGACUGGGGGUGUCCUAUCUCCAUGUGGCUCUAAGGCAUAUGGAAUUGUUCAGCUGGCUUAAAGACAUGAUGUUUCUUUUCAAUAUUUAUUGUUCGAAGGAUCCUUACAUGCACGAGAACAUCUUGUACUCUGUAAGGACCGGCAUGCUGCUGUGGCUGUACCCACAGCUUGCUGUGUUCAGAGAGACGCAGGUGUCAUCUCCAUGCAGGGGAAGAUGGUCCUACUUUGCUGGUGUGAGGUGUUUAGUGUAAUUCCCAGGUUUGUUUGAAUAAAGUUGAAUAAUUGGCUUGUUGUAGCAGACCCAACCCCACCACGUGAACAUCAUUCGCAUGUCACAGCAACAGCCCCAAUCCAGCUCCCUUGCUCAGAGGAUGGUAGGGAACAUCUUGGUGAUCACUGGGAGCCUCAGUGCAAACAGGGAAACAACAGGGUAAUGAGCAGGACUGUGACAGACCUUGGUGUCUAAUCCUGGUCUUUUGAGCCUCCCCUUAUCCACAUCAUUAGUAUUUGUUAAGUGGUGAAUUUUUGGAAACAUGCAAUAUUUUCACUUUCCUCUUUUCCUUUUUAAAUAUGAUUCACAUGAAACUGCUAAUAUGAAAAGAAUAUUUCAACACCUUGUUUAGUAAAAAUGGGCUCAAGGAAAGCAGGUACAAAUUGCACAGCAAAUUUUUAGCCUAAAUAUUAAAGAAAAUAUAUUUUAUUCUUGUCUAUCCUGAGAUUAAAGAGAAAAAAAAAUAGAGUGGUCAAGGUAAGUAAUUGUAGCACACCAUCUGUUGUGUAUUUCCUCAAGAUCUUUCCAGUCGUACAGAAUAAUGGCAUUUCUGAACUUCAAUAACUUCCACGCAAAAAGGUACAUCAUUUUGACAGGACUCAGUAAAUCAUUUAAAAUCAUAAGGGCUACCAUUAUGCAGACUGUGUGAUAAAGUUAGAGACAGGGUAUUUUUCUGCAAUGCGUCUUCAAUUUCACUCUAGAUUUUCGGUGACAUAAAGCUCAAAAGGAGCUCCUGGUACUACUCUCCCAGAGAUGAGAUCAACACUUAUGAGUACAUGUUUUGAUGACACAGCUCAGAAAAUUGAAGGGAUUAUUAUUAUGGAAGGACCAAGGUGAUAAGUACUGUGUUAUAUAUGAAUAACUGUCAAUCAGACAAGCCAAGAAAGGUCAUAAUCCAUUAUAUUAAUGUCAUAAAUGUUACCAUAAACUGACAUUGAGAUGGUAAACUGGGAUUCUUGCACUUUUUAAAGUGUUGCUGUUCUUAAAUGACAGUGUGUCCUGGAAAGACGAGUAUUAAUUUUUCUCUCAAAAUACAGGACUUUAAAGAUUUUCAGCAUAACAGAAGUAGUAUUUCAAACAUUCAUAUUUUAUUUUAAAGAAACUGGCUGAAUUGUCACAACAGUAUCCAAGAUACCAUGAACAGGUAAGGGACGAGAAACACAAUAAUUUCUAUUUACUGUCCCCCAUUGCUUUAUUUGAACUGUGGCUUUCACACCUGCCUCCCUCAGGCACUUCCAGGCCUCUUGCCCACAUAUUGGGGUCCACUCCAGCUGAGGAUGGGGGCAGCAGCAAGGCAGAGGUGGGAGCUCCUGCCCUGGCUGCUGACCACCUGAAGCCAGGACACUGCACCCUUCUGCAAAUCACUCCCCUGACAUUAAUAUUUUUUCCAAUAUCAAAUAUGAACUGAGGCGAUAUUCAGGAAUGUGUGACAGUGGAAUGAGAGAGUGUAAAUCAUAUUUUAUAUCUUUUGUGUUGCUGAGCAUUUUCCCACCCACAGAGAGCAGGCAGCUCAAUGGAUGUUGCCAGUGCAUGGCUCCUCUGAAUUCAUCCCAGGCUCCCAGAGGAGUAUCACCAGGGACAGAGAAAGCAGCCUACUCUCUAAUGAGUCUUUCUUCUUGCCAGCACCACUGGGUGCUCCAUCCUUUGCUGGCCAGUUAAGAGCCAGGAGGAAAUUAUUGUCACCUCAUGUAAAUCUGCUCAUAGCAUAGACUUCCAAGUGAGAGUAAGGGAGGUGAACUCUGAGCCCACCAAAAUCAAAGCCUUGUGUCCACAUUCACUAGCACUAAAAAUUCUACAAAUGAGUGGUAUCACCCUGAAGUGUGGGUGCAUGGGAGGUAAAAUAACUACCCAGUUAGCACUGGACCACUUAGUUUCCAAUGUUGGGGGGAAUGAAAAUGCAAGAGGAAUUUAAGGUGAGUUUUCACAUCCCAUGCAGAGGCCAAAAAAGAAAAGCAGGGUAAGUACUUCUGGAAAGUGCCAUGCUGUAUUUACUGGCCACAUCAGAUCAGAGCGAUAGUUUUAUGUCAUACUUAAAAUGCAACAUGUCCAGCAGACUCAUGCUGAUGUAUGGUUGUGAUAACAUUGACGUAGGCAGGAGACAGCCACCAGUGAGUCACCACACCACUUCCUUCAGAAGCUAGCUGUCUACGGUAGGCAUCCCAUUGCACUGCUGAUCUAGUCUAGCUUGUAAAUUACCCAUCUAGUCUAGUUUGUACAAUCUACAAAUAAUCCGUGUUUGUGCUAUGCAGGUAAAUGUUCAGGGUGAAACCAAUAUGGGAUAACUUGAAUUGUAUAAAUAACUGCAAAUCAUUACCUCAAAUGAGAGCAUAAUGCCUGGAACCACAGGCAGGAAAAUACAUUUACAGACUAUCAAAUUAUCUUGGGAUAAUAGUGUAAUGCUUUUCACUGCUGCACUCUGUGUUCUUAUAGCUGAGCAAAUAAUAUUACACCUGGAAAAGUCUCCGAAUUUCAAAGGGAAGAGAUUUCGUAAGCAGAGUGCUUCCACAGGAGAGACUGCCUUUUCUGUGUUAUUUUAGGGGAACAUUAAAAAACCCCCAAUAAACCAAAUAAGUUAUUUUUUAUUACUCAGAGCUACAUAGAGUAACAUCUGAUGAUAAACAAAGCCUUUAAACAAUUUGUCUUUUUAUAAUAUAACCUGCAAAGCGCUUCCUUGUUCAUAUGAGGUUACUUCUCUCUGUGAUUGCAACAAAACUCUUUUGAUCAAAUGUGUUUUCAGAACUGGCAAAACAAAAUCAAGCUGCUAUAGCAGUUUGCAUGCACAAGUUCUGUUUGAAUAUAAAAAAUUUUGAGCACAUUUUUAGAGAAAAAAUGUGGCCUUUGAAAUUUUGGAACUAAAGCUAUAUAUGUAUAUGCCAUAGUGCUAUUUAUGAUGUCUGUAGAAGUAUAUGACACCCAAAGUGCUUUUUGGAUGCUCCAAGGUAUAUCAAAGGGCAUUAAUUCCAGCACAGCUGGGAGUGUUCCCAGAUUCACUUAUGAAUGCAUAUUUCUUAUAUCCUGUAUGUUGACUAGAGUUAACAUACAGAAAAAAGUUAAUAUAGCCUUGGUCAUGGAGAAUAAUCCACAGAGUAAGCCUAUUAGGUGAGUUUUAGCAUCUACAUUUUUCUGUUCACAUCUGCUUGCCUGACAUAUGUAAUCUGCCUGGAUGUCACAGUUUACAUCCUAUUUUCAUUGGAGGAUAAUGAAACUUGAUCGGUGUCUUCAUCUCCUUCUCGGUCUCUCCAAGGAAUAUUUCUGCUUGUCAGCUCCUCCUCACCAGCACUCUCUGGUGUGAUCUUUAGCCAGUCCUCUAUUAAAGGGUAGUGCACGCAAGGCUUGAAGGAAACCAUACAAUUUCUCAUUGUUUGUGCAAAAUGGGUGCAAAACGUGUUACUUCUAAGACAGUAAGAAAAUAAAAAGUGAUAUAGUAAUUUCCUAACCUGAAUUUUCUGUACUUCCUUUUCUCUCACAAAGCUCUGGCGUAUCAGUAUUUUAGCAGCACUCAGUCAGUGGUUGCUUUCUGACGACUUAUGUUUCUGCUUAAGUCUUACAAAACUGCACUGUAGGCACCUCAAUAAUUUUAGAAUAGCUUAGUCUGAGAGGUAAAUUAAAAUUAUGGAAAAUCAGACCAUUUCUAAUGAGAUGGUUAUUACACUGAAUAAUGAUGAUUAUUAGUUCUGCUUAAUAAAACUGUCAUCCAAUGCAAAAUAUAUAUUGGGGAAAUUACAUUACAUUAUAUUUCUAUCAACUCAGAAAUUCGGUGUGUUGCUUUCCCACAAACCAUAGGCAUAAGGAAAUGUUAGACAGGGCUUCCUUUUCCAAAUAGGAUCAAUCAUGGAGCUUUCAGAAACAGCCCUUUAAAGCCCUGAUCUAAAGCCCAUUAAAUCUAAUGUUAUGAAGAUUUCUGCUGACUUCUGUGCCACGUAGAUCAGGACUUCGCUAAAGUGAGCAGUGUUCUCUCCCAUUGUUUCUGCUAAAUACCUAGACAAUACUACAGUGGUGACUAUUUGACAGUAUUGUUAGCCUACUAAAGGAGAAAAACUUGUAGAAACAUUUGCAGCCCCCUUGCCUCACUGACCUCAUUGGCACACCUGCUGUUCUGUUCUGAUGUACCUGGCAAAUUAGGAGAUGGACUCUACAGGAUGAGCUACACUCUUUAUUUCCAAGAUGAAAACAAUGAGGAAUAUUAUCUAUUGGCUAAAAAUGAGAUCUUGCUGUAAAAACCUCAACACUGAAGCCCCAGACGCUUAGAGGUGAGACAACUCCCCAGAAGCCUUUUGGCUGUCCAGAGACACGACUGGCCAGGAAAUCUGAGUGCUCAGCAUUUUUUUGUUUAAAAGCAGGCGCAAUAUCAAACCUUGCCUUCAGCAAGGACUGCUGUCCUGAGGAAUGAGACCCAUCCCUCUGGGAGGGUGGCUGCCUGCCUCUAUACUGCUACAUCUAUAUGGCAGUAAACUGCCAAAGGGGAAGGAAGGAAGGAGGGGGGGAAGCCAAGAGUGUGUUUCUGCUACCACACCUUCUCUGUGUAGGGUUUAAUCUAAAAGGAUAUGUUUUUGUGGAAUAAUUUGAUAUAAACUAAGCCACAUUUUUCUUACAGAAAGGUGUCUAUUAUAGCUACAACAGUGCAUUUUAUAGAGUCUAAGAGAGAUUAAAUAAGCAGCAAACACUGCAUGACUCACUAUGCAUCUGUGCAAACCGACUCAGUGAAACCAGGGCACGGAGGUGAUUGGGUCUGUCUGUGGUGCAUGUUGAAACCUGGAGAAACAUAGAUUUUGCCAUAUAAUUUUAUUUUUUGAGAGCAAUAAUGCUCUUACAAAGAGCAAUGCAUUAAAUGAGGAUAACAUGGUUAAUAAGUCAUAGCACAUGUGGUUCUAAGGUUUUCAUCAUGCUUUGAAACAUGUACUAAUCAACAAGAUUUCUCCUCUUGUGAAGCCUAUUUUGUAGAGUUUCAUAAACCAGGUUCAACAGACACAAUUUCAUUAGCAUUAUAUUGUUGCCAUGGUAAUGUGGUACCAAUUCAAUUGAUGGGCUUUUCAUCCUGGGCUUAUUACAGAAUUGCUCUUCCUGUCAAAGAUACAUCUAUAUGGAAACAGCAAACAGACCUUAUUAUUGGAGUACUAGCACAAAAUAUCAUCAUAUGCUAAUUUGGAUAGGAAUGUGUCAUGUUAUUGGCACCAGACCCAGAAAUCAUCAGAGACACAAUAGAAGUUACUAAACAUCAUACAUGACAAAGUCACACUCCAAAAUCAGGAAAGUUACUUGUAUUGUUCACUGCAGUACCUGAGUUUGCUAUUGCAAAAGCACUUGGCUCUGCUAUAAUCAUUCUCUGAAAUGCUGUUGGGAGGGCAGAGUGCAAGUGGUAAUAUUCAAGGAAACAAAAGUAGUAACACGCCCAAGAAUAAAAUGUGAGCUGAUGGUGUGUUGGUCCUUCUCCUGUUUGAAUGUUGUGCAGCAGGUUUUGGGGAAAUUGGUACCACAUGUGACACCCUGUUUUCCUGGUCUGUAAAACCAUGAUAAUAAACCCUCUCCCCCUGUGCAGAGCAGCUGGUGUAUACCAAAUAAUGAGUGAUAGCUGGUACUGCUAAAUAUUGUUAUUAAGUAAAGUAGCAAUGUUUUUAACAGUUCUGGGAAAAUACACAGUUUGAGAAAUGCCACUGGGAGAAUCUGGACUCACCCAGGGAAACACAGGAGAGUUGGCAGACCGAGCAGGUAACAGUGCAUAUGCACCUAUGGAGGAAAGAUACUCACAUCAUUAAAAAAUCAUGACAGUUUGUAGUUUUUUAAAAAUAAAGAAUAUUUUAGGCUACGGGAGAAGUAUCUGCAGCAAUCUGAGCAAGAAGAGCAACAAUACAAUAUAAGGCAACAGCAGGGUGGCUUGUUUAUUGUAUGUUAAAACAUUUUCUUGUGUAUUUUCACUGUUUUUUGAUGAUUGCUUCCUAUUUAGAUAGGAAAAAUCUUUUUCCAUCCUGACACAUUAUGUUCAGUCUAUCGUUUCUUAGCUUAAUCAUGUUGUAUCGUUUGCAGCAGCAAGAGUAAAUUACAGACAGGAUAGUAUUCGGUAUAAUCAAAGAUGUGUUCCAUUUUACAUGAUAAGUUUUGUCUGAUUUACAAAGGCAGUAUCUUCUCCAGCUGAGUGAGGAAAGAGAGACCUUCACUUGCAGAUAAAAAAACUCAGAGAAGAGGCUUCUCCUCCAUUAGGAACCUAUUGUUCAUACAAAGAAAACCCAAACUAUUGUUACCACUAUUAUCUAUUUAUUUACUUUUACCGUGAUGUAGCCACAGGACCCAGCUGAGACUGGGACCUACUUGUGCUAAGCACAGCAAAAACAUACAGUGCCACAGCCCCUUCUUCAGACAAUUUAUAAACUAAAGAGCCAUAAGAGAGACCAGAGAGGAUAGAAGAAUAGAGAGAGGGAGACAUAGCUUAAGUAACCGACUGAAGGUCAGAGAAGAAGCGAGUGGCAGAAGCAGCACAAGUCUCCAGUCCCUGUACCCUCCAUUGGGUUGCCUGCCCUGUUGGGAGAAGGAGGUAUUUGGAGAUAUCCUCCACCAGACUCUAAGGAUUCACACUCUAACUCAUGCACAGAGCCAUGCUUUACCCCCUAAUUUCAAUGGCUGCAUCUGUGUUGCUGAGCAGGGGCAGCCCGAGGCAAAGCUUGAAGUCCGCUGUGAAGCCCACCAGCAUUACCUAUUAAAACACCUUCAGGCUGGCUCCAGGGCAACCCUGUUAAUCCUCUCAGGGACAAAGGCUCAGGGAUACCCUAUGUUUUUUAAGCAUGUUCAAGGGCACCAGGGUCAGGGUACCUGCCAGAGAAAUAUUAAUGGGUUUCAACACCACAACCGAAGCAAUAGGGAUCAGGCUUUCUUCCUCUGCAGUAGGGACUUUCAAAUCCAAGCCUGAACAGAUGGAGGGAGGUGGGGGAAAGAGGGGAGAUUUUGGUCACAAGAGCAAGAAGUCAGUUUGCACUAGAAUUUGAAAGCUUUGAUCAGGAAGCAAUGUGAUGUCUUAGAUUAGGAAAGCAUUGGCUUGGAGUUUUUCUUGCUUUCUCCUUCUCUCUCUCCCCCUCUCAAAAAUCCAUAUAAUGUAAAACAGUUAAACUGGGCGAAGAGGCAUUCAUCUUCUGAUCGGUAAAUACUUCCUUUCACUGUGUGGUGCCUGCUGACUUUACUGCUGUUGCAGCCUUUUAAAAUGCUUCCAGGAAAUCUCAUUAGAUUUUAACUUUAAUUUUUUUUUCAUUAAGGAAUCUGAAGAGAGUGUAUAAUAAUCUCAAUUUAACUUUUUAAUAAAAACUGCAAAUAAUAGGCUAGCACAGAUUUGAUAUCAUAUAUAUAUUGGAUAAAAAUUCUGAUUUGUAGUAAGAUUUGUUAGCCAGGGGUUUGUUGUCAUCAUAAUAAUGAAUAUAAAAGCUGGCAGCUUUAAAAUGGCAAUAUUACAGUAAGCCUACAUUUUUUAUAAUGGUUUUGUGUUGUGCAUUCAGUAUUGAUGAAGAUUAAGAUUUAGCAUGCAGAAGUAAUAUCCAUUUUUAUGGGAUUGUCCACAGUGAAUUGAGUAGGACAUUUGCUUAAUUAAAAGUAUUUAUCUUAGAUGAUUUAAGAAGUAUGUCCUACUACUGAACUGAUGAUGUAAAUUAGUUUCCUAUAAUCAGUUCACCACUAAUGACUCCUUAUACUAAAGAGAAGAAGAAAAAAGUAAGAGAAGAGUCAAAGGAAAGUAAAAGAUGCCACUGUCUGAGAAUUCAAUAGAACUUUGGAAAUAAUGAUUAAUUAACACUAUGCCAUGAACAGGAAAUCUACAUUAUUACAUCCCUAAUGCAAAGAACAUAAACAGAGCCCUAAAAGGGUGCACUUCUGGCAGAAAGUUUGGAAAUACAACCAUAAACAAACGCCCAGAUUCCCACUCCUACCCACUGGACCUGUGCCUCAGAGGCACUGGCAUUUGGGGAGCAGAGCUUGAGGAUAAGAGGUGGCAGAGAGCCUGGGGUGGGAUGAAGCCCUGUGGCAUGGUGUCUUGUGGGGUCUUGGCAGGGGCUGUCCCUGGCUUUGGGCAGGAUGCCAGGGUGCCGAACUACUGCAGCUGCUGAAUUUGGGCAGAAUGGAGAGCAAGGCCAGAGCUACAGGGAGGGCAGGACCUGGUGUGACCUGCUUCUCUGGGUGGUUUUAAAUCUGUUUAUAAAGACAUACUGGGUAGUUUUAUAGAAAUGUACCGUGUGGUUUAAUCUGUUAUGCAAACAUACUUCUAAGGGAGAGUCCCAAUGGGUGGAAUGUUUCAACCUAUCUCAAUGUUACAGCUGUACAGCCUAAGUUUCGUGGACUAGCCCAUCUUCCUUCCUUCCUCACCAUGCCAAAUGACCCAUGGAAAGCUGUAGAUCUUCAGUCUGUGGGGACAAUCUAACAACAGCAACUUCUGGGGGUGCUGCUACAAGGUAGGGCCACAUCUAACCCUAUCAAACCAUCCCAUCAGCUCAGGUGUGCUGCUCACAUGAAAAGCUCAUGACUCACUGCAGAGACUUACUUGUCUGCUUCUUGGGAAACUUCCUGCCUGCAAGGCUGCCCCCUGAGACAACUAGACCCUCCAUCAGCCAGGCCCAAAAAUCACUUGCUGAAUAGUUUUGGCUGAGGCUUUUUGACAAAAUCUUCACAGAUAGAGCCGAGAGGACAGGCAAGAAAUAUUUCUACUCUUCAUGCCACAACUUGUUUUUUCAUUAUUUCUUCUUGUCUCCUUUUACACUCCAGGCAUUUUUCUUUCUACAUAGACUAAUAGGAAGAAAUGCUGUGUCCUACUCCAGUAAUUUAAUUUAUUUUUUUUAGUUCUAAUUAUGAGCAUUCACAUAGCAAGUGACAUUUAUUGAUAUAUGUUACCUUUCUGAAACACUAGAAAAGUAUCUGGCCUGUUCUCUGCUAAUGCUUAGAUGACAUUUUAGGAACAGGAACCACCCUGCAAAGGGCUGGGCAUGUGCACAGGAUAUGAGCUGUCAGUGAAGUGUAUUGAAUCUGGUUUUGAUCUGUUCAUGUAAUUUUCCAGGUGAGCCUUGGACUCUGCCUACGGUCUGUGCUCCCAGAUGUCAGCCCACGAUGGCAGAUGGAGGGACACCCGGAGCUCUGCUUCCCCCAGGCACUGCACUGGGCAUUUGCUGCUCCCAGAGCUGCCACACGCCACGGGACCCCCAGCUGCCGGAUGCCUGACCCAGCUCGACUGCUGGUGGAGAUGUGUUGGGGCUGGCUUUGCCCUGCUUGCUGCUGCCUGCAUGCCUUAUUCUUCUGACUUAUGCCCCAGCCCACUCCCGUCCCAUUGUGCUGCUGCCUCUGGGCUGUAUUGAGUUUUCAAUUAUCACAAUAUACAAUGCAGAUGCUAUGUAAAACAGCCAGCAUCGCUGGAGCACGCUGAACUCAGUAGAAACACAGUUAAAUAAAAGUAAUACUAUAAUACCAGGAGGCUGAUUGGAACCACAAGAUACCAGUGUGAUAUCCUGUGGCUUUUAUGUUGGUAGACCUAGAUUUUAGCCAUUAGAGUCUAGCUAUCCAACAGAUAACAACCAGAGAAAAUGGGUCUGGGUAUUUUCAAUUGUGAAUAACUGAUACACAUUUGCCAAUAAAUGGAGGACUUGGUAAACUGCCAGAUGAAGAAAACAUUUGACAUACAUACAAAUAUAAUCAGGCAUUUAAUAUGGCGUAGCAUCUAACUAUGUGUAACUUAAAGAAACUCCCUGAUUACACACAAUACCUUUAAAGUAUACCAUCAAGAGAGCUCUGACUUCAGACAAGCAAUGUGUGGUUGCACUAUCAACUCCAAAUUCAGUCAAGGAGAUAAACAGCAAGUGUGGGUCUCAACUUAUAUAUUUGUACCAGCAGCAACAACCUCCCAGAUGAUAAUGAUAUUGUAAUAUCUGUGUGGGGGUAAAUGCUAUGACAAAAGAGGAAGAAAUAAGAAAAAAUAUAGUAAUGUCAAGUUUGUCUGUUAACUUUUAGAAAAGCUCAACAUCUGGAAUUUUAGUAUGUGUUAUGCAGACGAAUGUAAAGAGAGAAACAUAUUAACUGUGUUUUUCUACAAAGCAAAAUGAAAUAAGCAUACAGAGCAAAUUAUUAUAUUUAGUACUCUCAGGGCAAAUUCUAGUUGAGGAUUGUGAAGUAAUUUCAAAAUAUUAAUGAAUUAGCCUCACAGCUAUCUUUCAGGUGGAUAAUAAUGAUAAUUAUUACUACAAAUAAAUAUUAUUAUUAUCAGUCUUGCUCCAAGAAAUGAACAUUGAUGCAUAGAGAAUUUAUGUCUUUGUCCCAAGUCUGUGUUUUACUACUGUAACCAUCCUUCUCUAGAACUAUCAUAUAUUAAGAUUAUCAUUUUCCAAAUACUGUGUGUGAUACUAUUCACUUUAUAAGGUCUAAAAACCAGCCAACUGAGCUUCCUUGUGAAACAGUGCCAGUGAACAUCUCCAUUUGCAUUUGAAUUCUCAAGCAGCAACAAUCUGCAAAAAAAGAAGAAAAAAGGAAUCAUGAAAAUCCGUACAAAAUCUGUCAAGGCCCCAUCUGUGACUGGGUAUCAGAAUAUCACUAAGAAGCUCUGAGAAACAAAGUUCAUUCCAAGUCUAACGCAUAGUGCUUUUUGGUCGAUGAAAUUAAUUCAAGCAGGGGUAAAUGAGGGCACAUACCAUGAAAAACUCUGUUCCUCCACUGAGGGUGGAAGGAAAGCAGCAUCACUGCUGUGUGUGUGGUCUUGGUUUUGGUGCACGUAGCUGUGUUUAAACACUAAAGGUUUUACAAGGCAAAAUAAUCAGUGUGCUCAUGACUCCUUUUGAUACCAGGUACACCUGCUGCUCUUCUGACGAGUAUAAGGGAAUGAGUGAUCUCUGGUCCUGACAAGAUGAGGACUUAGAUUACAUAUGAUUGUUGCAAAAAGCAGGCUUUUGUAGCCAGCUACCUUAAGUAGUACGGAAACAAAACUCCACCCUGGCCUUGAAAAUCCCCUACAAACAUAUUUAUUUCCUUCUGCAUGGCAAUAUAUAAAGGUUAGGAACACUUAUUUGUAGGCUAUUUUUACAUCUCCUCUUCAGGAUCUGAAUCUUGCAUAUUAAUGAAUUAACUCAAGGAAACAGGAGAACCAAAACAUUAACGCCAUUCUAAUGCACUCUAUUAUUUUUCUUUUCCUUUUUUUUACUGUUAGAGUAUGCAAAUGUUCAGUUAACUGGUCCUCAUGUUUUCUCUUUAUUGAAUCGCUUUCACUACAGCAAAUAAAUAUUCAUAAAGAAAUGUGGACAAUAAAUCAUUUUAAAUAGUUCAAAGCCAUUUUCUUUCUAGACUGCAUAUAUUUUCAGCUGUAACUCGCCUUUAAUAUUUCAUUCAAAAGACAGACUUGUAGAAGGACAAUAGAGAUAAUGUGUCAAGUAGUAAUUAAAACAGGGAGUAAUGAUUAAAACCAUUUUGAUCUACAUUGUGCUCUGCCAGAUUCAUAAUCUCCUGUGUUUGUUAGGAUGGCUUUCUACUUGCUUUAUACAGAAACUCAAAAUAAACUUCUGUUUGAAGACACCGAAGAACACAAAAGAUUUCAACCCUGAGCUUGUGGGUCCAGAGCCCUUUCCAGUUCUGGAGUUCAGGUAUAUCUUCUGUACCAUCCUAGCAAGAUAAAUGCAAGCAGGCACUAUCCCUCCUGCUGAUACUGUGACUUCUCUGGGAAGUAAAUCCAGAUGCAGAGCAGAAGACAAGGAAGGGCCACCCCAGUGUGUACAGGUAAAUGUAACCCGUCUCACCAUUUAGAUUUAAGCUAAGAGCUUCAAAAGAAAUGAAAGUUAAAGAUAAGAUUAGCUUAUACGUUUAGGGAUCUUGGUUCAAAUCCAAGUAAGAAUUGUGUUCCUUGUCUCAUUGUAUGUUUUGGUAUUCAUAAACAUAUUUGGC